rnacentral:rRNA from 1 species
CUAAGCCGAGGCCGAAAGGCGUAGGUGAUGGACAACAGGUUGAUAUUCCUGUACCACCAAUAACCGUUUGAGAAAUGGGAUGACACAGUAGGAUAAGCUAACCGCACUGUUGGUUAUGUGCGGGCAAGUAUUGAGGCAGUUCCGAUAGGCAAAUCCGUCGGAAUAAUGCUGGGGUACGAUGCGGAGCGAAAUUUAGUAGCGAAGUAGCUGAUUUCACACUGUCGAGAAAAGUCUCUAUCGAGGUUAAAGGUGCCUGUACCGCAAACCGACACAGGUGGGUGAGGAGAGUAUCCUAAGGCCAGCGAGAGAACUGUUGUUAAGGAACUCGGCAAAAUGACCCCGUAACUUAGGGAGAAGGGGUGCCUUCGAAAGAAGGCCGCAGAGAAUAGGCCCAAGCGACUGUUUACCAAAAACAUAGGUUUCUGCUAAGUCGCAAGACGAUGUAUAGGAGCUGACGCCUGCCCGGUGCUGGAAGGUUAAGGGGAUCUGUUAGAGCAAUCGAAGCAGUGAACUUAAGCCCCAGUAAACGGCGGCCGUAACUAUAACGGUCCUAAGGUAGCGAAAUUCCUUGUCGGGUAAGUUCCGACCCGCACGAAAGGCGUAACGAUUUGGGCACUGUCUCAACAACAGACUCGGUGAAAUUGUAAUACCGGUGAAGAUGCCGGUUACCUGCGACAGGACGGAAAGACCCCAUGGAGCUUUACUGUAGCUUGACAUUGAGUCUCGGUGCUACAUGUACAGGAUAGGUGGGAGACUAUGAAGCAUGGACGUCAGUCUGUGUGGAGUCAUCCUUGGGAUACCACCCUUGUAGUACUGGGAUUCUAACCAGAGGCCAUGAAUCUGGUCUUGGGACACUGUCAGGUGGACAGUUUGACUGGGGCGGUCGCCUCCCAAAAAGUAACGGAGGCGCUCAAAGGUUCUCUCAGUACGGUCGGAAAUCGUACGAAGAGUGUAAAGGCAAAAGAGAGCUUGAUUGCAAGACAUACAGGUCGAGCAAGGACGAAAGUCGGACUUAGUGAUCCGGUGGUACCGCAUGGAAGGGCCAUCGCUCAACGGAUAAAAGCUACCCUGGGGAUAACAGGCUGAUCUCCCCCAAGAGUCCACAUCGACGGGGAGGUUUGGCACCUCGAUGUCGGCUCAUCACAUCCUGGGGCUGUAUUCGGUCCCAAGGGUUCGGCUGUUCGCCGAUUAAAGUGGUACGCGAGCUGGGUUCAGAACGUCGUGAGACAGUUCGGUCCCUAUCCGUCGCAGGCGUAGGAAAUUUGAGGAGACCUGUCCUUAGUACGAGAGGACCGGGAUGGACGUACCGCUGGUGUACCAGUUGUUCUGCCAAGGGCAUGGCUGGGUAGCUAAGUACGGAAAGGAUAAGCGCUGAAAGCAUCUAAGCGCGAAGCCCACUUCAAGAUAAGAUUUCCCACCGCAAGGUUAAGAUCCCAGGAAGACUACCUGGUUGAUAGGUCAGAGGUGUAAGUGCAGUAAUGUAUUUAGCUUAUCGAUACUAAUAGAUCGAGGACUUGACCAA